AAUAAAUUCAGUUUGAAUGAUUUUUUUCUGCUGCAAAAAUUAAAUUUAAAACCAAAAAUAAGCCCAAUAUUUGGAUGUUGAGGAUUAUGGUGUCAGAAGCCUCACGGUUCCUUCCUUACCCAGCGCCAUCAGCGAUUCCUCCGAGCCGAAAGAAGCAGAAAUCCAUUUCCUGUGCGCGAGGGGAGGCCGUGAGGUCCUGUCCCGGGUGUUUCUCGCACUCCUCCUCCCCUCGGAGGGUUGUUCCAGGUGUUGGGAGCUGCAGGAGGAGCUCCUGGAGGGGUUUGGGGGGUGACGGGAGGGGCUCAGGCCCCGGCAGGUGAGGGUGACACACAGGUGAGGGUCCCAGGUGAGGGUCCCAGGUGAGGGUCACACCCAGCUGAGGGUCCCAGGUGAGGGUGACACACAGGUGAGGGUCACAGGUGAGGGUCCCAGGUGAGGGUCCCAGGUGAGGGUCCCAGGUGAGGGUCCCAGGUGAGGGUCCCCAGACAGGUGAGGGUCACACACAGGUGAGGGUCACACCCAGGUGAGGGUCCCGGGUGAGGGUCCCAGGUGAGGAUGCUCCGUGCUGGAUCUGCUCUGGCAGAGGAGGAUGUUCAGUGAUGGCUCAGCCUGAAACUGCUCACCCAAUAACCCUAUAACCCUAUAACCCAAUAACCCUAUAACCCCUCACCCAAUAACCCAAUAACCCUAUAACCCAAUAACCCUAUAACCCAAUAACCCUAUAACCCAAUAACCCUAUAACCCUCACCCUAUAACCCAAUAACCCUAUAACCCUCACCCUAUAACCC